rnacentral:rRNA from 1 species
GGAAGGACAAUAGGUUGCGAAACCGCGAGGUGGAGCCAAUCCUCAAAGUCUGUCUCAGUUCAGAUUGUAGGCUGCAACUCGCCUGCAUGAAGUUGGAGUUGCUAGUAAACGCAGGUCAGCUAUACUGCGUUGAAUACGUUCCCGGGGUUU